rnacentral:tRNA from 1 species
GGAGGGUACAGCUCAGUGGUAGAGCACAUGCUUAGCAUGCACAAGUUCCUGGGUUCAAUCCCCAGCACCUCCA